rnacentral:rRNA from 1 species
UACGUAGGGUGCAAGCGUUAAUCGGAAUUACUGGGCGUAAAGCGUGCGCAGGCGGUUUUGUAAGUUUGUCGUGAAAGCCCCGGGCUCAACCUGGGAAUUGCGAUGAAGACUGCAAGGCUUGAAUCCGGCAGAGGGGGGUAGAAUUCCACGUGUAGCAGUGAAAUGCGUAGAGAUGUGGAGGAACACCGAUGGCGAAGGCAGCCCCCUGGGUUAACACUGACGCUCAGGCACGAAAGCGUGGGGAGCAAACAGG